ACAAUUUUAAUUAUGAAUCAGAGACACUCAAAAUGAAAGACACAAAAACUAUAGGCAACUAGAAUUAGAGGAAAUGUGAACAAACAACUAAUAUCAUAAAUUUUACAUUAUUUAUAUAAAAAUAAAAUUGACAUGAAAUAUAUCUGCGGAAUUACGUACGAAUAUAACUAAUGUAUAUUUUGCUCCGGAAUUUGAUGACCAUUCCUGCGGAAAGCUAUCGGCAGGAAAAUCCUUAAGAAAAAGAUGAUGAUUGCUGCGAAUAUCCAGUCGCACAUAAGUCAGCGGCAAAUGAAACGUUUACCUGCCAUGUUGCCUGCGGAAUACGAUACCGCAGGAAACAUCUCUGGGUAAAUGAGAUCCGCAGGAAAAUCCUAUUGUGCUACCUGCGGAAUUACUUCCGCAGGAACAUCCGCAUGUAAAUCACUAAUUUCUAGUAGUGAUUGAAACUUUUGAGUAAAUAGUUGUAAUUGAAUUUAUAUAUGUUUUUUUUAAGGCACCAAUUGAAGUUUGUUGAUUUUUACUAAAAUGGAAAAUUGAGUUAUUAAGUAGCUGGAGCUACUUACUAUGAUGAGAGAUUCAGAGUUAAAAAAGAAAUAUAAAGAUGAAAUGGUGAAUAAAACGUAGGAAAAAUUGAGGCAUAAAUGUAGGAUUGUUUAUAUUGAUUCUAGAGGAAGUAGACCCAAAUGAAGAUAAGAGGCAAUGUCACAAAAAGCAGCGGGUUUUACGGUAGGAAAGGACAGGGGUGGCAAAAAGUUGUUUGUUUGGAGUAGGAUGAGAUUCGGAAUUGAACGGAGGGUAGAGAUAAGAUGAAUUAGAUCCAUUCCAAUUCUAAAUGGUACAAUAGAAUUGUUGAGUGGAUUGGAGUAGUAACACACACUUACUGUUGGAUUGAGUUGUUGUUUUUGUUUGUGUGAUGCAAACUUAACCACAAAGUCUUCUUCUACAGACACAAAAGGGGUAAGUGGUCAGAACUCAAAAAAAGCUCAUAAACGCUAUCUGCACAACCUUCAAAGAGAGAGAGAAUGAAAUUAUUAUUAUUGUAGAGAGAGAAAGAGAAAGAGUGCCACACAUAAGUGGGCAUGGCGGCGUUUGCAGUUCUGUAAAACCGUGCUCUUUUAUUAAUGCCUCUUCGUUGUCUAGAAACAAACACGCACACCAUUUCAUCUUUAUAUCUUUGUUAAGCAGUUAAAAUCCGCUGAAUAAAGUUUCUUCGGAUUGGAUGGAGCAUGGGCCUUAAAACUUGCGUGUUCCUCUUUAUUGUUAUGAGCAGAGCAAUUAUUAUCAGUGAUAAAACUUUUUCCUCGUGGUGAAAACACAGUGUCUCAUUUUAAAUACAACAAAUUAAAAUUAAUGACAAUAUGUGAUAAGAUCUUACUUAGUCUAGAUUAAUUUUAAUCCUACAUUGUUGAAAAAAUAAAAUAAAUAGUUUACCAUUUAUUAAAGCCUAUACAAACUAUAAACUAUGAAAGAGACUAAAG
rnacentral:lncRNA from 1 species